UGGGGAAUAUUGCACAAUGGGCGCAAGCCUGAUGCAGCCAUGCCGCGUGUAUGAAGAAGGCCUUCGGGUUGUAAAGUACUUUCAGCGGGGAGGAAGGUGUUGUGGUUAAUAACCACAGCAAUUGACGUUACCCGCAGAAGAAGCACCGGCUAACUCCGUGCCAGCAGCCGCGGUAAUACGGAGGGUGCAAGCGGUAAUCGGAAUUAGUGGGCGUAAAGCGCACGCAGGCGGUCUGUCAAGUCGGAUGUGAAAUCCCCGGGCUCAACCUGGGAACUGCAUCCGAAACUGGCAGGCUUGAGUCUUGUAGAGGGGGGUAGAAUUCCAGGUGUAGCGGUGAAAUGCGUAGAGAUCUGGAGGAAUACCGGUGGCGAAGGCGGCCCCCUGGACAAAGACUGACGCUCAGGUGCGAAAGCGUGGGGAGCAAACA
rnacentral:rRNA from 1 species